GGGCCUAUCGCUCCUACCUGAUCGUGUUCUUAGUGCCCAUUCUCCUGCUGCCUCUGCCCAUCCUCGUCCCCAGUAAGGUUGCCGUCGAGUAUCUUAAGGACUCCAACCUCCUGUUCUUCGGGGGGCUGCUGGUGGCCAUCGCGGUGGAACACUGGAACCUGCAUAAACGCAUCGCCCUCCGUGUUCUCCUCAUCGUUGGGGUGCGGCCUGCCCCGCUAAUCCUGGGCUUCAUGCUGGUCACGGCCUUCCUGUCCAUGUGGAUCAGCAACACGGCCUCCUCAGCCAUGAUGGUGCCCAUCGCACAUGCCGUCCUGGACCAGCUGCACAGCUCUCAAGCCAGCAGCAAUGUCGAGGAGGGCAGCAACAACCCCACCUUCGAGCUCCAGGAACCAAGUCCCCAGAAGGAGGUGACCAAGCUUGAUAAUGGGCAGGUCCUCCCUGUCACGUCUGCCUCUUCGGAGGGGAGGGCACAUCUCAGCCAGAAGCAUCUCCACCUCACCCAGUGCAUGAGCCUGUGCGUGUGCUACUCCGCCAGCAUCGGGGGCAUCGCCACGCUGACUGGCACCGCACCCAACCUGGUGCUGCAAGGCCAGAUCAACUCGCUCUUCCCCCAAAACGGCAACGUGGUGAACUUCGCCUCCUGGUUCAGCUUCGCCUUCCCCACCAUGGUCAUCUUGCUGCUGCUGGCCUGGCUGUGGCUGCAGAUACUCUUCCUGGGCUUCAACUUCCGGAAGAACUUUGGCAUUGGGGAAAAGAUGCAGGAGCAACAGCAGGCAGCCUACUGCGUCAUCCAGACCGAGCACAGGCUGCUGGGCCCCAUGACCUUUGCAGAAAAGGCCAUCAGCGUCCUAUUCGUCAUCCUGGUGCUGCUCUGGUUCACCCGGGAGCCGGGCUUUUUUCUUGGCUGGGGCAAUUUGGCUUUUCCCAAUGCCAAGGGGGAGAGGUGAGAGUUGCAGGGGUUGGGAGGAGGACACAUCUGGGGCUCACAUGCUCGGGAAGGAGGGAAGGGUAUAGGGCCCCCAUUGCAGAAUAGGAGGUGACACUUGGUGGGGGAUGAAGGUUCCCCAGGCUUGUCUAUGGGAGAGGCUCAUCUCCACCACCCUCCACCCUGUGGCCCUGAGCAACCCCAAGCGGCUAACCCAGCCCUCCCCGCGCCCCCUCCACCAACAGCAUGGUGUCCGAUGGGACAGUGGCCAUCUUCAUCAGCAUAAUUAUGUUCAUCAUACCCUC
rnacentral:sRNA from 1 species